CCUAAGAACACUUCAAAAAGUGGGAGCUGGACCCUCACACUGCUGGAUACUUCCAACUGUAAUCCAUGUGUCAUGCCAUCCAGACUGAGAAAGAUCCAGAAACUCUGUGGCGAUGUGAGCCAGGGCCAUAGCCAAUAAGUAGGCAUCACAAGCACCCAGAAGGCCAAGAUGAGAGUAUCCACUCCACUGUCCUACUGACAUCUCCAGGAAUAGCCAAUGUAAUGUGAAGCUGUACUUUACAUUUAAAUGGCGCCAGGACAUGUCGGAGCUUACAAGCAUGAGGAAGUCUUACAGGAAGUCAGCGCCUUACUGGCUUUGUGAACACUCGAGACUGAAGCGUUAGAGAGAGCGAAAGUGUAACCGCUUUUCUCUACCCAAACCGAGGCAUCCACAACACUGACUUCAAUGAAGAAAACACGAGUUUCUGGGAAAACAAGCCAAAACUUCCAUCUGCUUACAGCUGUCUACCUGGCUGUUCUUCAAAAGCUCCAAGACCGCACCCUGUCUGCUGAGACAUUCACUCCAUGCCCAUUUGGACUCGUGGGCUGAUGCAGGGUAUGUCAAUGUCUUUAUGGACAUGCUGUUUGCUCUCACUGAACAAUGCUCACUCCCUUCCCCAACAAAAUGAAAACGUCUCAUCAUUCAGUAAAGUAUUCAGUGUUUUCCAAUGUGUUCAGCGACUAAAUCUUUCUGAGUCUGAAGCAGAUAAAGACAUGGUAUUUGGCUGAGAGUGUGGCACAUGACUGGAAUCCAAGCAUUGGGAAAUGGAGGCAGGAGGAUUAGGAGUUUGAGAUUAUUCUUGUCCUUAUAGCAAGUUUGGGGCCAGCCUGGUCUACAUGAGAUCUUGUUUCAAAACACAAAGUAGAACAAAACAAACCAACACAGGCAGAGCAUUUCCCAGGUGACAGCCCAUCCCAGAGGUCUGGCUGAGGGCAAUCUCUGUCUCAGAAUAUUUUUUU